rnacentral:tRNA from 3 species
UGCGGGGUGGAGCAGCCUGGUAGCUCGUCGGGCUCAUAACCCGAAGGUCGUCCGUUCGAAUCGGACCCCCGCUACCA